UACGUAGGGAGCAAGCGUUAUCCGGAUUUAUUGGCGUAAAGGGUGCGUAGGCUGCUUGUUAAGUAUGAAAUUAAAGCCCGAGGCUUAACUUCGGUUCGUUUCAUAAACUGGCUAGCUUGAGUAUGGAAGAGGCAAACGGAACUUCUAGUGUAGCGGUGAAAUGCGUAGAUAUUAGAAGGAACACCAGUGGCGAAGGCGGUUUGCUGGGCCAUUACUGACGCUGAGGCACGAAAGCGUGGGGAGCAAAUAG
rnacentral:rRNA from 1 species